AGCUUUGCGCAGUGGCCGUAUCAUAGCCAAUGAGGUUUAUCCGAGGCACAAUUAUUGCUAGUUGAAAA
rnacentral:snRNA from 1 species